AUUGAACGCUGGCGGCAGGCCUAACACAUGCAAGUCGAACGAGUGGCGGACGGGUGAGUAAUGUCUGGGAAACUGCCUGAUUGAGGGGGAUAACUACUGGAACCGGUAGCUAAUCCCGCAUACCAUCGGAUGUGCCCAGAUGGGAUUAGCUAGUAGGUGGGGUAACGGCUCACCUAGGCGACGAUCCCUAGCUGGUCUGCGAGGAUGACCAGCCACACUGGAACUGAGACACGGUCCAGACGCCGACGGCAGGCAGCAGUGUGGAAUAUUGCACAAUGGGCGCAAGCCUGAUGCAGCCAUGCCGCGUGAAUGAAGAAGGCCUUCGGGUUGUAAAGUACUUUCGGCGGGGAGGCGUUACCCGCAGAGGAAGCACCGGCUAACUACGUGCCAGCAGCCGCGGUAAUAC
rnacentral:rRNA from 1 species